GUACAUAUAAAUAUAUCUACACAUAUAUAAAACAUGUUUAUUUUAUGCAUUUAGUUCUAUAUAUAUAUUUUUUUAAUUUAUUAAAUUAUUUUUCCUUUUUUUUAUUUAAAAAUUAUUAACCAAUGAACAAAUGGAAAAAUUCAAGAGCCCUUUAAUGAAUAAAAAUAUAAGUGAUGUUUUUAUUUCCUAUAAUGAUAUGAUACAAGACAACGAAUAUGAAAGUAGUUAUGGAUCAUACAAAGAUGUCAGUGACUUUUUGGAAAAUUCCGAAAGCUCAAGUAGUCAAUAUUCAAGUGAAAGUGAACCACUAAAAUUGUACAACUCACAUUUUACAAAUAGAAAAGCAAAUAUUCAGGAAACUAAUUCCGUUAAUGAUAUAUUUACAUGUGAAAAAGAAAAUAUAUUGAGACACUCUUACACAGAUAGUUAUAUAAAUGAAAUGGACAGUAUGGAGUGCUUUCCGUUUACAGAUUAUAAACACAAUACCACCAAUAUGAAUAAUAUAAGCGAAUUAGCGGAAUACCAAUGGAAACCAUAUGGUCGUAGUGUGCCUGACAUUUCUUCAAUAAACUUGACCCACAGAAAGGCAUGGGAUAUUGGAAGAGAAGGUUGUAACGGAAUACUCAUUAAAAGCAUUUUAGAUAGCUAUAAUAAAAAGAAACUGAAUUAUAUAUUACUGGAUGGUACUAAUAUAGGUA
rnacentral:lncRNA from 1 species